GGUGCCACUCACUCCCUCUAUUUGUAGCACAAGAGGCUUCUUUGGUAGUCGUGCCUCUCGAGGCUGUUCCUCUCCUCUCACGGAUCCUCCCUCCCCGCCGCUCAACGCCGACGAUCUGUCCACCGUCGCCGUCUCUCCGUAAUCCUUCGUGAGAUGUGAUAUAUACUGUGGGAUGGUGAAGCACAUAGUUAUUAUAGUUGCGGGGUGGCAAUCUUAAUCGUGGAAGGAGAUAGAUGUUCCGUAAGAACGACUCGGCCCUAUCCUGCUUCUAUCUCUACCUGCUCUGGCUAUUCUUCCUGAAAUAGCAAGGAAUCCAAACCCUAAGCUUGGGAGAGUGUGCGAAUACGGAUCUGAUCGUGAAAGGUUGUCUUUCUCAAAAUGUUCGACCUCAACCUGGCGUCUUCCGGCGAGUCGACGGCUCUCGAAGAUAAGCUUGUCCCCGAGAGUUCUGGCGCCAGGCAGAUGGACGACUCCGGGAUUACGAAUUCGUCUGUCCUCAACACUGAGGGUUCUGUGGACGUGGCCGAUGAAGAUUCUUGCUCGACCCUUCCUGCGAUGGCCUUCGAAUUCGGUAUCUUGAAAUGCUCUACCUCGGCAGAGGGAGAGAAUGAAGCCGAAGAGGGGAUUGGAGGGCAUGCGAGUGGUGUCCUGGAACAACCUGGACUCAUCACCAGGCAGCUCUUUCCAUCGGCAACGAUGCUGAUUCCGGAUGGUUUCCAACUGCCGGUGGUGGCUUCGUCCCCGUCUUCAUCGAGGCUGCCUUGGAUGAAUCUUACGUUUUGCCAAACUGAUACACAAUCAGAAUUGAGAAUUCUGCAGCAACAGCAGCAAAAGCAGGUGAAAAAGAGUCGCAGGGGGCCACGGUCCCGCAGCUCUCAGUACCGGGGAGUUACGUUCUACCGCAGGACAGGAAGAUGGGAGUCUCACAUCUGGGAUUGCGGGAAGCAAGUGUAUUUGGGAGGUUUUGACACUGCUCAUGCUGCCGCAAGGGCAUAUGACCGAGCUGCAAUCAAGUUUCGUGGAGUGGAUGCGGAUAUCAAUUUCAAUCUCAGCGACUAUGAGGAAGAUCUGAAACAGAUGAGGAAUCUAUCAAAAGAAGAAUUUGUGCAUAUACUUCGUCGCCAGAGUACUGGUUUUUCAAGAGGAAGCUCAAAAUACAGAGGAGUGACCCUUCACAAGUGUGGUCGCUGGGAAGCCCGCAUGGGGCAGUUCCUUGGCAAGAAGUACAUAUAUCUUGGGCUAUUCGACAGCGAAAUAGAAGCUGCAAGGGCUUAUGACAAGGCAGCAAUAAAGUAUAAUGGAAGGGAUGCUGUUACCAAUUUUGAGCCAAGUACCUAUGAAGGAGAACUACUUUUUGAGGGUGAUACUGAAGGUCAUGAUGUGGAUCUGAGUUUGAGGAUUUCUCAAUCUGUCGUCCAAGGUCCAAAGGGAUAUCAAAAUUCAUCAAAAAGCCAGUUUGAAGCUUCUGAUUGCAACAUAGCAAAGGAGAACGAGAGUGAGAAGAGGACCGCGGUUGGCUUGCAAGCUCUCCCAAUCUGGAAUUGGCCGACAAAUGGACAUUGUCCAUUUCCACUGUUCUCUUCUGCAGCAUCAUCAGGAUUCUCACCUACCACAGUGACAGCUGCUCUUCCUCCCCUGAAGCCACCACCUCCAACAACCCAUCAUGUUCAUUUCUCUCCCCGAGCUACAUCAAAUUACCGUUUCAUGAAUCCAAAUCAGUAACACUCCAACGAGGUGCCAAAAUGUUACACACAUGAACCAUCUUUAGGGCAGGGCAGGUCCCAGGGGGGGGGGGGGCGGUAGCCAGUCGCAAAGAAGUAAUACUUGGUGAACCAUCGUGUGGUCUACCCCUGUAUCAUUUUAUCGUGUUCUUCAGGUUCUUUCCUCUUCACCGCGGAGCUAGAACAGUCGAACUUUAUUCUGGGCUUUCGGUCAUCCCUUCGUCUACAUGUACUGUUCAUGAUCCGCACUAUUGGAAGCAAGCAAAGAGUGAGUAUAUAUUCUCAGAAACCAGAAUGAUGGACAGCGGAGGAAGAGCAAAAGACACAGUAGCAUAGCAGCUGAGCUGACUCUAUUCCAGUGACAGAGACCUAAUUUACAGAGCUCCACUCAUCUAACGCAAACACUCAUCUUGGUUUGUUCCUAUAUUACAGAGCAGGAGGAAGCAGCUACGGGAAUCGAAGGAGUUCCAAUCAGAUGGAAGGAACAGAUGCCAAGCAACCAUACAAGUAUUAGCCAGAUGCACGAGGACGCGUCGAUGUCGCAGCUCCGCCUUCCCGUUCACCGCUCCCAGAUAUGCUCCCCUUCCAGGUGGAGUAGAUGGCGGAGGUCAUGGAAGACCAUGAAUCCUUCAGUUCCGUAGCGAUCUGCUUCUUGAUGCUGCCCCUUGGUGGUGGGCACAAGUUCCCUCUUCCCCUCCUCUCCUGCUUGCCGGCGUCUUGGUGGCUCUUCAUCUCUUCCGUAACAGAGAGAGAGAGAGAGAGAGAGAGAGAGAGAGAGUGCGCGUUGUCUCUGGAGCGAUAGGCAACCGGAUAUAUAGAGGUGUGUCAGAAGAGUAGCCGACAUACGUCAUUGAAACGUGUGUUAGUAUUAGGAAAAAUAUUAUUAAAAAAAUAAAUUAUGAUAAAAUUAUGAUUUUUAAAUUAUAAAAA